GAUGAAGGGCGUGCUAAUCUGCGAUAAGCGCCGGUAAGGUGAUAUGAACCGUUAUAACCGGCGAUACCCGAAUGGGGAAACCCAGUGUGAUUCGUCACACUAUCAUUAACUGAAUCCAUAGGUUAAUGAGGCGAACCGGGGGAACUGAAACAUCUAAGUACCCCGAGGAAAAGAAAUCAACCGAGAUUCCCCCAGUAGCGGCGAGCGAACGGGGAGGAGCCCAGAGCCUGAAUCAGCAUGUGUGUUAGUGGAAGCGUCUGGAAAGGCGCGCGAUACAGGGUGACAGCCCCGUACACAAAAGCGCAUGUGCUGUGAGCUCGAUGAGUAGGGCGGGACACGUGGUAUCCUGUCUGAAUAUGGGGGGACCAUCCUCCAAGGCUAAAUACUCCUGACUGACCGAUAGUGAACCAGUACCGUGAGGGAAAGGCGAAAAGAACCCCGGCGAGGGGAGUGAAAAAGAACCUGAAACCGU
rnacentral:rRNA from 1 species